UGGUGUAGGGUCGGCCGGGUUCCAGGAGGAUUGCAUGGAGAGGCUUGCCGGUCGGUGAAAUCAAAGGGACGUUGAAAAAUUGGAGAUGAAUUAGUGCCGAUUUGGUUAUGAGUUUAGGUUUUUUCCUGCUGCGAAGUGAAGUUGAGAUGGGUAAUAAGGGAUCAUCCUCCUUCUUCUGAGGUCCUCCAGUUCUCUUGUUAUUGCUGUUAGUAGAAGGAAAU
rnacentral:misc_RNA from 1 species